rnacentral:rRNA from 1 species
AACGAACGCUGGCGGCAUGCCUAACACAUGCAAGUCGAACGAGAUCUUCGGGUCUAGUGGCGCACGGGUGCGUAACGCGUGGGAAUCUGCCCUUUGGUUCGGAAUAACAGUUGGAAACGACUGCUAAUACCGGAUGAUGACGAAAGUCUAAAGAUUUAUCGCCAGAGGAUGAGCCCGCGUAGGAUUAGCUAGUUGGUGUGGUAAAGGCGCACCAAGGCGACGAUCCUUAGCUGGUCUGAGAGGAUGAUCAGCCACACUGGGACUGAGACACGGCCUAGACUCCUACGGGAGGCAGCAGUGGGGAAUAUUGGACAAUGGGCGAAAGCCUGAUCCAGCAAUGCCGCGUGAGUGAUGAAGGCCUUAGGGUUGUAAAGCUCUUUUACCCGGGAUGAUAAUGACAGUACCGGGAGAAUAAGCUCCGGCUAACUCCGUGCCAGCCGCCGCAGUAA